AGUGAUUCUCCUGCCUCAGCCUCCCGAGUAGCUGGAACUACAGGAUCUCAUCCAGGAUACCACAUUACAUUUAGCAGUCAUGUCUCUUUAGUCGUCUCUUUACUCCGUAUUAUUCCAACACUUCCACUUGUUGAAUCGAUGGCCUAUGUUGCUUCAUUGGGACGGCAGAACCAGGUCUUGACCAUAAAAUCAGAUUUAUUUGGAGAAAACAAAACACCGACAACCCAAAGGAUGGGAUUUUACGUCAAGACAUCUCCCAGAUUCAAGCCACUUCAGCUGCCUAAACUCUCGUGCCUGCCCCAUCAGGUCAGUGGAACACUCCAGCUAUGCUUGGAUUCCAGUUCUCUCAGAUGUGAUCAUAAAAUUAUGCUCAGGUAGCAGUGGGUUUUCAGAGUGCUCACCUUGUCAGGUUCCCUUCUCAGUCAUCACAGUUUGUGCUGCAUGUUGACCACUGCCUGAAUUCAACUGCUUCAUGUAUUUUGUCAAGUUACAAACUUUUAUGUGGUCAAUGGGCUAGUCUGGUACCAGUUAUUAAGUUAUGACCAGAAGUAGAAGUCUUAUUAGAAUGUACUGUUUUGAAAAGGAAAAAUACCGACAUGUACAGCAAGAGCAAACUUGGGGUUGGAGAAAGAUUACCGUAUAAUUAUAAAGAUCAACAAUUGAAAGGAAUUUGUGUGGGGAGGCACCACAAAAAGUAACAUGAUUUAUAAGCAGACAUGUUUUUGUGUCUCAUUUUUCAUACGUAUCUGUAAUGUAAGAUGGAGUUAAAAAUCACAGUCUUUUGAGUUACACAAAAACGGAUUUGAAUCACUUUUGCCUCAUAUAAGUUAGAUGAAUAUUUCUCUCUCAAAUAUCAA